UACGGAGGGGGACUAGCGUUGUUCGGAAUUACUGGGCGUAAAGCGCACGUAGGCGGAUUUGUAAGUCAGGGGUGAAAUCCCGGGGCUCAACCUCGGAACUGCCUUUGAUACUGCAAAUCUCGAGUCCGGAAGAGGUGAGUGGAAUUCCUAGUGUAGAGGUGAAAUUCGUAGAUAUUAGGAAGAACACCAGUGGCGAAGGCGGCUCACUGGUCCGGUACUGACGCUGAGGUGCGAAAGCGUGGGGAGCAAACAGG
rnacentral:rRNA from 1 species